GUGAGCUUUCCUCAGGAGUGAGCAAAAACAGGAACGUGCCUGCAGAGGGAGGAGUUCCCAAAGAGGAAACGGCGCAGGAACAGCAAAUGCAGAGAGGAUGCACACUCUGAAGAGGGCAGGCAGCUUCUGCACCGAGGGAGCAAAGGGGCGUGUCAGGGGCAGCUGCUGGAAGGAGGCGCAAGCACCACGGAGAGUCUGGGAUGCCCAGCCAAGGAGCCCUGGAAGGGUUGCCCUGGGGACUGACACUGUGGGCUCUGUGUUUUAGCCAAGUCACCCAGGCAGCUGAACAGAAGAUGGACUGGAGGGAGAAGCCUGGAUGUAGGAUCGCUCAGCAACAAAGGAGCCAGAAAAGGCAAGGUGUACACACCGUGUGCAGCAUGGGCGAGCUGCAGGCAUGCAGGUAAGAGUGUGUGCAUGCAGGUGUGUGCACACGAGUUUGCAUGUGCUGAUGCAGAUGGCUAUGAUGCGUGGUGGUGAUAUAUACAUGUGGAUGCUUAUGGAUCUGUGCCAACCAUUAUUAAGCACAUAUGUAUACCCGUGUGUGUAUAUGCAUGCAUGUGUUUGUGUGAGUUGCAAUGUGUAUACAACUUUACACAAUAAGUGAAUUGAGUACAUGUACCUGUUUAUCCACGGAAGUGUAUGAUGACUGGACAUAUGUAAAUAUGUGUAUUUGCAUGUGUUUAUACUUUGUGCAUAGAUGCAUGUUUGUGUAUUUAUGCUGAUCCAUUUAAGCGUAUGGGAUGUGUGUGGAUGUUUGUGUAACAUCUGUACAUACUCCAUAGGUGCAUCUUAAUACAGGAAUAUGGGUGCGAUGUGUAUGUGUGUGUGUGUGCCUGUGUGAACAGGUGCGGCUGGAGGUCUAUGAGUGUGUGGAUAGGUAUAUUUGCCUGUGCGCAUGUGCGAUUCACGUGGUGUGAGUGCACAUGGUCGCAGGCAAAUGUCUGUGUGGGCACACACAUGCCCUGUUGCCCUUUUCUGUCUUUUCCUGUUGGGAAAUUACAGAACUUCUGAGUCCUAACCAUGGCUGGUGGCUCUUCCAGGAACAUGGUUUCCUGGACCCAAAAGGUAAGCUUGUCAGGGACCCACGUGAAUGAGGAAGUGGGUGGGCCUGAGUCUGGGGCUCCUCUGAGAACUGCUGUGGACCAGGGAAAUCUUGCUGCCACCUCUGGUCUUUAGUCCACCUCUCAGUAGUAGCUUUCAAAGCUUGAUUUUUUUGGAGGCGUCUCCACGGAGCAUAGUCCUAAGCUCCUAGCCUACAUUGUCCCUGUUCCUGGGCCUGUUUGGUUGACAUUCUCUUACAGUUUAAAAAAGACAUCCACAUCCGUACUCUUAGCUAAUCCUUGUGACCUUUCUUCUAGUCUGUUUGGAGAGGCUGGGAGCAGAGUGGUUAAAAGAGCCAGGCCUGGUUCCAUUUCUGACCCCUCUUCUAGCUGAGCAACUUCCGCCUCUUCCAGCCUCCCUCACGGGAAUCACAGAUCACGUGAGAUGACACCCAUGAAGGGCUUGACUGGCAUCUGGCACAUGGUGAGGACUGCAAAAAUGUGGGCUAUUGUUUUUACUAUUAUCCCCAUUUUAUAGAUGAGGAAACUGAGGCUUGGAGAGGCUCUCUGCCUUUGUCAACCUGGAGAUGCUGGGAAGGAAGUGAGGCCCAUCCCACCUCAGAUGCCUGUCCUCUGUCGUCAGGAGCAUUCUCUUGUUCUUCCGGGCUUGGCCAAGCGGUGGUAAACCCCACAUGUGGUUCUGUGGUUGCCCACACAGUCCUAAAAAUAGCCAACAGGAACCCAGGGGCUCCCCCUUGGUGAGUGGCAGCAGGCCCAGUCCUCAGGCAGCCACCAACCUGCUCACUCCCCACAGGCAAGCAGGUCCUGUCUAGGAAGGGGCUGGGUGGCCUGGGUCCCAUGCAUGAUGAGCCAGAGGCUGUGCCAAGCUUAUAGCAAAUAUUAUUUUAUUUCAUUAUGUUUUCUUACAUCUGUGAUGUGGAGGCCAUAGCUCCACUGGACUCAUGAGGAGACUGAGGCUCAGAGCAAUGAAGUGACCUGCUCAAAGUUAAGGAGCUUCAGUUUGGACCCAAUUUGUUCUGAUCCUAAGGUCACUAUCCUUAAUCCCUCUCCCUGUGGGGUCUUCCCUAUCUUGAGCCUGUGGACAGCUGUGCAGUGGCAAGAAAAAGGCCUUCAGAGCUACGCAGACCUGGCUUCAAAUCCCAGCCUCCCUGAUGAGCCCUGGUGGUCUUGCAUGCUUGCCCUUGGGACUCAGACACCAUAUUGUGAGGAAGCCCAAGCUACAUGCAGAGGCCACUAUAGUUGUUCUGGCCAACAGCCCAAGCUUCAGCUGCCAGACAUAUAAAUAAACCAACUCUUCAAAUGAUUUCAGUUUCCAGACUUCAGUGCAUCCCAGGAAUGCCUUCUUCAUCUGUUGAAAUCCAGCCCAUCUAUGAAGAGUCAAAGGCCGCCUUGGCCGUGAAGGCCUCUGGUGCUGUGGGCCCAUGCCAGGGCCCAGGCCCAGGGGUUCUGCAGAGACCACCAGGAUCCCAGCAGGACAAUAGGAAAUCUCAGCAGAGGCAUUCCAGAACACGGAAAAGCCAGUUCCUGAUGAAUCCAGAGGAUGUUCAAAGCUCACCAGGCCAAUGAACCCCGACGGAUUCCCCAGUGGGCCCUCUCUCCUUUCCGUAGAUCUUCUAGGAGUUUUACCAUUUAAAGAGAACUGCAGGAGGCCAUCUUAACCAGACUGUAUGUUUCAUUAAACCAAGAAUGGUAUUUAUUCUAGCAGUAUUCUAGGCACUGGGAUACAACAAAGAGCACAAAUUGAGAGGUGACAGCGUGCUGGCAGUCCUCACAGCCCUCGCUCGCUCUCGGCGCCUCCUCUGCCUGGGCUCCCACUUUGGCGGCACUUGAGGAGCCCUUUGGCCCGCCGCUGCACUGUGGGAGCCCCUUUAUGGGCUGGCCAAGGCUGGAGCCCACUCCCUCAGCUUGCAGGGAGGUGUGGAGGGAGAGGUGCGAGCGGGAACCAGGGCUGCGUGCGGCGCUUGCGGGCCAGCUGGAGUUCCGGGUGGGCGUGGGCUUGGCAGGCCCGGCACUCGGAGUAGCCGGCCAGCCCUGCUGGCCCCGGGCAAUGAGGGACUUAGCACCCGGGCCAGUGGCUGCGGAGGGUGUACUGGGUCCCCCAGCAGUGCCAGCCCACCGGUGCUGCACUCGAUUUCUCACCGAGCCUUAGUUGCCUUCCUGCGGGGCAGGGCUCGGGACCUGCAGCCUGCCAUGCCUGAGCCUCCCACCCACUCCAUGGGCUCCUGUGCAGCCCGAGCCUCCCCAACGAGCAUCACUCCCUGCUCCACGGCGCCCAGUCCCAUCGACCACCCAAGGGCUGAGGAAUGCGAGCACACAGCACGUGACUGGCAG
rnacentral:lncRNA from 10 species